GAUGAACGCUGGCGGCGUGCUUAACACAUGCAAGUCGAACGGACUCAUAUUGAAACCUAGUGAAGUAUGAGUUAGUGGCGGACGGGUGAGUAACGCGUGGAAAACCUGCCGUAUACUGGGGGAUAACACUUAGAAAUAGGUGCUAAUACCGCAUAAGCGCACAGCUUCGCAUGAAGCAGUGUGAAAAACUGAGGUGGUAUACGAUGGUUCCGCGUCUGAUUAGCUAGUUGGUGGAGUAAAAGCCUACCAAGGCGACGAUCAGUAGCCGGCCUGAGAGGGUGAACGGCCACAUUGGGACUGAGACACGGACCAG
rnacentral:rRNA from 1 species